rnacentral:rRNA from 1 species
UGACGCAGCGACGCCGCGUGGGUGAUGAAGUUCUUCGGAACGUAAAACCCUGUCAGGAGGGACGAAGCUCUGACGGUACCUCCAAAGGAAGCCCCGGCUAACUCCGUGCCAGCAGCCGCGGUAAUACGGGGGGGGCUAGCGUUGUUCGGAAUUACUGGGCGUAAAGGGCGCGUAGGCGGCCAGGCAGGUCAGGUGUGAAAUCCUUCUGCUCAACGGAAGAAUUGCGCUUGAAACCGCUUGGCUAGAGUACAGGAGAGGAGGGCGGAAUUCCCGGUGUAGCGGUGAAAUGCGUAGAUAUCGGGAAGAACACCGGUGGCGAAGGCGGCUCUCUGGACUGUUACUGACGCUGAUGCGCGAAAGCGUGGGGAGCGAACGGGAUUAGAUACCCCGGUAGUCCACGCUGUAAACGUUGGGUACUUGGUGUUGGGGGUUUGAGUCCCUCAGUGCCGGAGCUAACGCGUUAAGUACCCCGCCUGGGGAGUACGGA